CCCACCUGGAGCAGUGCCCAGCUGCCAGCAACUUGAGACUUCUUGACUUUGUUUUUUAAUGCCUUCAGCACCUCCAGAUGAACCGUUUGAACUGAAAGCAAGAUAGAAGUUGUUCAAGGAUGCCUUUGCAAAAGACUGGUGUGUUGCCAGAGAUACAAGAUCUGGCUUGUUCUAAUGUCUUCUCCCUUGCAGAAAAAUAAAUUUACUUUGCUCUGCAGUGUGUUGGGAAGGUUGAGGUUCAGAACAGACUUUUCCUUCAGGAUUGGAGGAGCCACCACCCCUUGGAGGCUUUGAACAUUUAUCACUUUGGAAGUGCAAAGGAGAUAAAUCUGCCCAUGGUCUGUAAGGGUUUCAGGGCUUUGAUUUUUCUUUUCCCUCCUUUAUGAACAUCUCUCACUGACUUCCAUGCUGGAAGGAAAGUCCCCUUUUCAUGAGGAUGUGCCACAUCCCAUGGGCAGCAAUAGUUACAUCCCACUGACUGUGCAUGAAGAAUAUAAUGCAUUAAAAUAAUCUAGAACAAACUGUAAAAACACUUAAACAACAAGCCCAAAGCAAAAUAAUUAUUUUAAGUCUGCCAACUCUUUGUUUAAAAUAAAGUUGUACUCAUUGUGAG